UACGAAGGGGGCUAGCGUUGCUCGGAAUCACUGGGCGUAAAGCGCACGUAGGCGGAUUCUUAAGUCAGGGGUGAAAUCCUGGAGCUCAACUCCAGAACUGCCUUUGAUACUGGGAGUCUCGAGUCCGGGAGAGGUGAGUGGAACUGCGAGUGUAGAGGUGAAAUUCGUAGAUAUUCGCAAGAACACCAGUGGCGAAGGCGGCUCACUGGGCCGAUACUGACGCUGAGGAGCGAAAGCGUGGGGAGCGAACAGG
rnacentral:rRNA from 1 species